rnacentral:lncRNA from 1 species
AAAUAUGUAAAAUUGUCCCCAACAAUCUCGAAAAUCAAGGGAUUACCUCCGCAUAGCUUCCAAUGUCGGGAUGGUCCUCUUAGACUAGUCAUCGGUCUGAGGAUGGAAGGCGGACAUCUUUUCUCUUCUCUUAGCGUGCACAGUUUGCUUACAUACCGCCUUAGGCACAUCUCUCUUUCAAAAAUGGUGUAUACGACGAUGCCGCCUAUUUUCAUUUCGUGGAAGUCCCCAGCAGAGGAAAGGGAUGUAGGAGAAUGCGUGUUAUGCUUCUUAUGACGAGAGCGCUCAUUGAUGAGACGCCGAUAUAGAGAAGAAAGUAUACCCUUUGUCACCCCCUUAUCACUUAAAAGUAGAGAGAUACACACUUUGGAAUCAAAAUUUGGUGGGAUUUAGGAUGGAUCGAAUAGCGAAUGCCUUAUCUUACUUAGUAAAGCAACCUUUCUCGCUAGGCGCUCACCUUUUUUGUCGGGAUGGAAGCUGGCGGGCAGGGCUUGCUUAACCGGAUACAGGAAAUUGGGAUCUCUGUUGCAUGCAAAUAUUUCUAUUGGGAAAGCCUCAAGGCACUAAUAGAGUAUAGCAAGUUGCUCGUACGAUAGCAAUAACUUGAUUGCAAGAUUACCAACCAAUAGCUACAAUAAUAUAUUGCACCAGUCACAUUGAUUUGAUUAGCUUACUGUUCGAGACAAAUUUUGUGUACGGAAAUUAAUAACUGCAAU